rnacentral:rRNA from 1 species
GCAGAGCACUCCGUACGGGAGGCAGCGGUGGGGAAUAUUGCACAAUGGGCGCAAGCCUGAUGCAGCCAUGCCGCGUGUAUGAAGAAGGCCUUCGGGUUGUAAAGUACUUUCAGCAGUGAGGAAGGUGGGUAUGUUAAUAGCAUACUCAUUUGACGUUAGCUGCAGAAGAAGCACCGGCUAACUCCGUGCCAGCAGCCGCGGUAAUACGGAGGGUGCGAGCGUUAAUCGGAAUUACUGGGCGUAAAGCGCAUGCAGGUGGUUUGUUAAGUCAGAUGUGAAAGCCCCGGGGCUCAACCUCGGAAUUGCAUUUGAAACUGGCAAACUAGAGUACUGUAGAGGGGGUAGAAUUUCAGGUGUAGCGGUGAAAUGCGUAGAGAUCUGAAGGAAUACCGGUGGCGAAGGCGGCCCCCUGGACAGAUACUGACACUCAGAUGCGAAAGCGUGGGGAGCAAACAGGAUUAGAUACCCUGGUAG